rnacentral:lncRNA from 1 species
UCCAUGACUAUAUAAAGAUAGAUUAUAAUGAAUUGAUACAUUCAUUCAAGAAAGGUGAAUUGAUCAAGUGAGAGAAAUUAUUUGAGUAUGAAGAUGUCUAUUGUUAAACUAAUGUUCUUAUUAUUUGUCAUCUUGGCGUCAGGUUAGAAAUUUUGUUUUACUUUCAACCUCGAAUAUGUCUCUUUUCUAAAUGUGUAAAUCAUGUUCUACACCUUACCAUUUUUUACACUACUUUAAUAAUACCUCCAAACUUUAAUUGCUUUAUAUUCUAUAUGAUGUGUUGUUUUUGUGUUCACAUAUAUUAUUUUUGUGAAUAAUACAGAUAUGUGUAAAGAAGUAGAUGCCAGGGGUCCCAUUGUGCAUCUUAAACCGUGUGAGACAAAUGCAGAUUGUGAAAGAGACUAUGGUCCCGGUUUCAUAUGUAUUAAUAAAUCAUAUUGUUAUCCAGGGUCAUUUAAGAAAACUUGAUAGCCAAGCAUUGCAUGAAGGAGUAUGUUAGAGGCAGAAAAUAGAAAGACCCCAAAGAAACUUACAAAAAUCUUGUUGGAUGAAAAAAAUGUGUAGAAGAUUAAAACCUUCUUAAAAAUAUUUUAUAGUGUUUAUCUUUUUCAGCUAUUUCAAUUGUAAGAUCUGACCAGAUGUAAGGUCUAAAUCAUUUUCCUUUUUCUGGAAUUUGCUUUACUAUGGAAAAUAUUACUGAUGAAUAAGGCAUGAUGAAUUUCAAUGAA